UGGGGAUUGAACCCAGGGCCUUGUGCAUGCAAGGCAAGCACUCUACCAACUGAGCUAUAUCUCCAGGCCCCAAAACUAAGAUUUAAUUAUCCUAUUAGACACAAAUAAUUAUAACUACCUCUAGCCUGGGAAAAUGUACAAAAGCAUAAUACCUGUAUAAGCUUCAUUCCCCUACUAACUAAGCAGCUUGGCCUUAAAUUUCAAGAUGCCUUCUAUCUACCACUCUUUUAUUGUCAUGCUAUAUUGGUAAAGGUAGAUCUCACCAUUAUGACAAAAGUGUCUGUGAAAGGCAAAUUAGAAUGGGUAAGUCCUUAGAGAUUUGUUUCUACAUUUUAAAAAAAGAAAAGAAAAAUCAGUUAUGGUCGUGGAUGCCAUUAAUUAAGCAGCUUGGGAAGCUGAGGCAGGAUGAUCACAAGUUUAAGGCCAGUCUGGGCAACUUAGCAAGACUCGUCUAAAAAUAAAAAAAGACUGGGAAUGUGGCUCAGUGGUAUAAUGUCCCUGGAUUCAAUCCUCAGUACUGAAAAAAUAUAAUGAGAUCUGAAGAAGUCAACAGUUUAACCAAAGUCAAUGGGAAUUUCAUGGCAGUACUGGAGCUGGACUUUGUUGACUGCUCUUCUCUAUACAAUAUGGCCCUUAAAUUCUUACUUUUAGGAAGUUUAUUACCACACUGAUAAUAGCCAAAGUGUGUACUAAGAAUGGAAAUAGCAAGACAAAAGAGUAGAAUAUCAAAUAUUAGAUAACAUAAGUAGAUCCAGGAGACAGAAAAAAAUAAACUGGAGAUACCUUAGAAUUACAUGCCCAGGUUCAAAGGAUUAUCAAAAACAAUUCUGAACAAUCUAAAAUGGAUCGGAAAGUAAUUAUCAGUUGUCUUCAUUCAGCACCCUCGCCUUCCAUUGAAUUUUUGUAGUUUCUGCUUCCCAAAUAGCAAGCUUCAUUAUUUUAGUGGAGUGACAGGUCCUUAUCACCUAUGUGGAUUGGGCUUUUUACAAACCCUUUUCCUUCACAGGAACUUCAGUGUAGCCUUUGCCCAGUACAUCCACCAUAUUGCUACGGCUGUCAGAGUGAGCAGUCAAAAACUCAUUGUAUCAGUUCUCUUAAAUUUUUCCAUGACUCCUAAUUACCAACAAAAUAAAAAUUAUAGUGUUUUUUGCAAGCAAGCCUGUGCUAGCUGUAUAUCUCACCUUUUCCUAGAGCACUGCUGCCACCUCUUUACCUUGUCUAGAAUCUUGCAUUUUCCUUAAAUUCAUUGGUUCUCUUGAAGUUCUUUUGAGACUUCUUCCUGCUCUCCCACCUUCCAUGUCUUGAACCAGGAAUAAAAAUUGACAUUCUUGUAACUUCUCACUACGAUAUCCAAACCAAUCUACAUUGAGGCUUUCACCAUUAAGCCAUGUAAUCUCCAUUCCUUCACUGUUAGGGAGAAGAUUUUUGACAAGUGUGCUAUCAUCAGCUUAAGUUGCUUCAUUGUCCACUGUGACCUUAACACCAGUAUAAAAGCCUUUCAUUACUGCUGCUGUUCAUUUCUGGGACCAUAUCUUGCACUUUGUUCUCCUGAACUGUUCUGAAUAUCAGCAGCCAUGGCAGUUCAUGUUCUAAACAAAUCCUUCUUUUAUUUCAGAUUUCUUAGUCCUUUGCACUCACCAAACCUGCUCUUCAACUUCAGUGAAAUCUGCUGGCUUACAGUUUUCCUAGUUCUCCAAGUCUGUUCCCCUUCACUGGAUUUACUUCUUCCCAUUCUAUCCUGGACCCUACAGUCAUUUAUUUCAAACUCAAGUCUUUUCAACACUUUUCAAUGUCUCUCUCCUUCCACAUUGACCCUAAAACAGACCUUAACUACAGGUCAGUUUCUUCCUUACAUCCUUGCCCCUUAUGUAUAGAACUAUUAACCAUUAGUGCAUCAUAAAUUAUCCCAAAUUUUAGGGGCUUAACAACAUUUAAUAUGUGUAUUAUAAAUUUCAUACUGUUUUUGCAAUUUCUGUUGGAAUCAAAAGUGGCUUAGCAUAGGGCAGAGGGGUGGGAAGGAAAGGGAAGGGGCAGGGGAUUAGCAAGGAUAGUGGAAUGUGUUGGACAUCAUUAUCCAAAGUACAUGUAUGAAGACACAAAUUGGUGUCAACAUACUUUAUAUACAACCGGAGAUACGAAAAAUUGUGCUGUAUAUGUGUAAUAAGAAUUGUAAUGCAUUCGCUGUCAUUUAAUUUUUAGAAAAAUCAAUAAAAAAAUAAAUCGAAAC
rnacentral:lncRNA from 1 species